rnacentral:lncRNA from 1 species
UGGGGCUCUGGGGCCCGCGGGGAACUCUGCACAGGAGGCCGCAGGAAGUUUCUGAGCACAGCAGUGGGGUGGUCGCUUCCCCUCAGCCUGCUGGCUUGCCGCCGCCGCUUGUUUUCCGGCCUCCUCCACCAGUCUGAUGUGGAAACAGCGAGCGCUCCGGAAGUACUCGCCAAAUGGGUGAGCCUCAAGAAACAGUGGUUUUUCCCGACAAGCAAGCAGAAAACAUCACUUAUAUUCAAAGCAGUCAGCCGCCGAGGAGGUGGGGGCUGGCGCUGAAAAGAAAGGGACCGGAUGCUCGCUGCUUCUUAGGAGUGAUGAGCAACGUCAGUCAACGCCAUGAUUAGAAUCUCCUUCCG